rnacentral:misc_RNA from 1 species
AACCAUAGAAACCUGCGGAGUACCUGCGGAAGGAUCAUCAAAGAAAUACCAACCAUCUCAGAGAGGAUGGGGGUGGGGAGACCUGCCUCUGUCUUUUCUGAGCAAACAAACAUACGUGACUAGGAAAGAAGAGAGAAAUGGUUUUAUUGGGGGGGGGCUCGCAAUGCAGAAGUUCUUGGCUGAUAAGUAGCUUAUUGACUUGGGAUAAUUCAAUACAACUUUUAACAACGGAUCUCAGAU